rnacentral:rRNA from 1 species
AUUGAACGCUGGCGGCAUGCUUUACACAUGCAAGUCGAACGGUAACAGGCCGCAAGGUGCUGACGAGUGGCGAACGGGUGAGUAAUGCAUCGGAACGUGCCCAGUCGUGGGGGAUAACUACUCGAAAGAGUAGCUAAUACCGCAUACGAUCUAUGGAUGAAAGCGGGGGACCGUAAGGCCUCGCGCGAUUGGAGCGGCCGAUGUCAGAUUAGGUAGUUGGUGGGGUAAAGGCUCACCAAGCCAACGAUCUGUAGCUGGUCUGAGGGGACGACCAGCCACACUGGGACUGAGACACGGCCCAGACUCCUACGGGAGGCAGCAGUGGGGAAUUUUGGACAAUGGGCGCAAGCCUGAUCCAGCAAUGCCGCGUGCAGGAAGAAGGCCUUCGGGUUGUAAACUGCUUUUGUACGGAACGAAACGGCUCUGGUUAAUACCCGGGGCUAAUGACGGUACCGUAAGAAUAAGCACCGGCUAACUACGUG